ACAGGGAUUGCCUUAGUAACGGCGAGUGAAGCGGCAAAAGCUCAAAUUUGAAAUCUGGCACCUUCGGUGUCCGAGUUGUAAUUUGAAGAAGGUAACUUUGGAGUUGGCUCUUGUCUAUGUUCCUUGGAACAGGACGUCACAGAGGGUGAGAAUCCCGUGCGAUGAGAUGCCCAAUUCUAUGUAAAGUGCUUUCGAAGAGUCGAGUUGUUUGGGAAUGCAGCUCUAAGUGGGUGGUAAAUUCCAUCUAAAGCUAAAUAUUGGCGAGAGACCGAUAGCGAACAAGUACAGUGAUGGAAAGAUGAAAAGAACUUUGAAAAGAGAGUGAAAAAGUACGUGAAAUUGUUGAAAGGGAAGGGCUUGAGAUCAGACUUGGUAUUUUGCGAUCCUUUCCUUCUUGGUUGGGUUCCUCGCAGCUUACUGGGCCAGCAUCGGUUUGGAUGGUAGGAUAAUGACUAAGGAAUGUGGCUCUACUUCGGUGGAGUGUUAUAGCCUUGGUUGAUACUGCCUGUCUAGACCGAGGACUGCGUCUUUGACUAGGAUGUG
rnacentral:rRNA from 1 species